rnacentral:rRNA from 1 species
AGGCUUUGAUCCUGGCUCAGGAUGAACGCUAGCGGCAGGCCUAACACAUGCAAGUCGAACGGCAGUCAGCAGCAAUGUUGACGAGAGUGGCGCACGGGUGCGUAACGCGUAUGUAACCUGCCCCAUACUGGGGGAUAGCCUCCCGAAAGGGAGAUUAAUACCCCAUGGUAUUACCGGGUCGCAUGACUUGGUAAUUAAAGCUGAGGCGGUAUGGGAUGGGCAUGCGUCCGAUUAGGUAGUUGGUAGGGUAAAGGCCUACCAAGCCUACGAUCGGUAGGGGAACUGAGAGGUUGGUCCCCCACACUGGUACUGAGACACGGACCAGACUCCUACGGGAGGCAGCAGUGAGGAAUAUUGGGCAAUGGCCGCAAGGCUGACCCAGCCAUGCCGCGUGCAGGAAGACGGCCCUAUGGGUUGUAAACUGCUUUUCUCAGGGGGUAAACCCAUCUACGAGCUAGAUGGCUGAAAGUACCUGAGGAAUAAGCAUCGGCUACAUCCGUGC